rnacentral:lncRNA from 1 species
CCUCUCUCUCCCCUCUCCCUCUCGAUCCGGCCUCAGCCGAGGCGCCUGCCGCCGCCGCUCCGCGACCUGGCGAGUCGGCGCUUCGCCUCUUCUCCCUCUCUUCUCAAAGCAGACGCCCCUCUUUGAUAAUACAUGCUCAAGGCAAAUAGGGUGAGCCCUAAUUCCUCCAUCACCUGAAUCCGCCACCACCACUUUUGAAAUCCGGCGAACGGCCGUUGCCGGUGGGUGAGGCCGCCCCUCCUUCGUCUGUCGUCCUUCCUCCCUCAAUUUCUCUCUCAAAAGUCCACCGAAGAAGAUAAACUGAGGGGUCCUAUUCUCUUCCAAAAUCAGAAAUCGCCGCCGCCGCCGCCUAUAGAAGAACGGCGAACGGUCGCUGGUCGUCGCCCUGCCUGACUCGGACGCUCCCUUCGCCCAUCUCCUUUCGGCUUCAAUCGUUCUUCUCUCCCUCGAAUCUAUUGAAGGAACGAAGAAGCCCUAAUUUCUGCCAGAGGAAAGAAUACCGCCUCCGCUGCAUCUGGAAGGCCGGCUUCGCCGCGCCGCUGCACUCGCGGCGGCGGCCGCUGGUCGUCUGGCCGCCGAGGGCGCCGAUCCUCGGCUGCCCCCCUCUUCAUCUCACUACCUUCCUUUUGAAAUCGAGUGCAAAGGAUGAAGGGAGGAAACAUGAUUUCCUCAGUCUGAUAUCAUUUCCGCCAUUGCUGCUCCACGGUUUCCGGCUAGUACGGAAAAGCCCGCCGUUGCUGUUUUCUCCAGGGUCGACGGUUCGAGCCUCGCCACGCUGCUGCUGCUGGAUUCGGGCGAAGGGUACGCCGCCGAAUGCUGCUAUUCCAGAAUCGGCGAGGGCCAUCGCCGAGGUCAGGAGUCGCCUGCCCUUCACCGCUCGACGCCGUCGACGCUGCUGCCCUCGCGAGUCGCCGCCCAGACGUCGUUUCUCGGCCUGACUGAGCAGGGCAGCGCCCCUCUUUUCUAAAAGCUAAGUUCUCCUCUACCCUAUUGUAAAGCUUGAUUUUCCUUAUUGUGCUUAGUAUGUUGAGUUGCUCGAGUUCUACAUACUAAUUCUUACAUUAAAAGAAAAAUGUAACUGGUGUUCUGCAUUAUGAAGUGUAACUUGGCUAUGUUCAUUAUGCUUAUAUAGGUCUUCUAUCAUUUGAAUCUGAUCAUGAUUGAUGGUAUGAAAUGCGGAUGGAAUUUGAAUAACUGAGAUGGUAUGCAUACCUUGUGAAAGUUUCUGGUUGAUGGUUGUUGAUUAUAUGGGCUGGAAUGACUUGAAAAGUUCUGGCAGAGAGUGAACGAAUGCUCUCUCCUGCUUCUUGUUUGUUAAGGUCUUUAAGGGGUUGGAACUGAAAUAGAAUGUUGAUCUUUGCAUUAAUGCAGGUGGAAUUUAGAAGGUGAUGAAGAAAGUUGAAGAAAGCCUACUUCCUUGAAGUUUGGCAGUAGUGCAGUAAAUGAUUUCUUCCUCAAAUGUUUCGAGUGUUGGGGUACUACUGGAUUGGAGCAGCUUGAAGUCUUGGCAGAGUAGUUAAGCCAAGUCUCCCUUCUCCUUGUGAUUGCUGGUGCGAAAUGGAAGGAAUGGGUGAAGUGUUGGGGUAGUAUAAAGGGUGGAUGGAGGCUGCACACUUGAGUGUGCUAGAGGAUAGGUAGGAGGGGUGGGGAGAAUGGGAUUGGAGGAGUGGGGCGGCUGGCAUAGGGGAAAGGGAAUGGUGUUGCAGAUUUUUGCACACACAUACACAUUUCUUUUUAUCUACUUUUGAUGUAGUAGGGUAGUAUGGAGUAGGAGUAGGAAGGAUGAUGCUUGUAAAUGUAGAUGUGAUGGCAAUAAGUAAAAUUGUUCUAUCUUGAUAAAUCCAAAUCUGUAAUAAUGUAUCACUUGAUCAAUGAAAUACUAGUUCCGGGUUUUUACUAAUAUCGCGUGUUUAUGCAUUGCUCGAUAUCUAAUUACUCGCUUGUUAGUAUCGAUAUACUGUAAAAUACAUCUAAAUUAAAUCCGUAGAUUUAAUUCUCCUCACAAGCCGGAAUAAAUUCACGACUUAAACAAGUACAAAAAUAAUAACAACUAAUAAUAUAAAUAAUAUUUCUAUUGCACUUAAUAAAUAACAUGAGGUUGCUAAGUCAAUUAUAAUCUGAAAUAAUAAUUAUUGACUGCUCAAUAAUUCUUAUCGCGGUUUCUCACGUGAAAUAAAAUAAUAACUCUGCUUCAUGUAUUAUAUAACUCAAAGUCAUAAGUCGAAAUCAAUCAUAAAUCAUCAUUGGGUUUCAUCACUGAAAGAUGCAAUAAAAUUUAUUGCAUUACUGGUUUUAAUAGGAAUAAUAAUAAUAAUAAUAAUAAUAAUAAUAAUAAUAAUAAUAAUAAUAAUAAUAAUAAUAAUAAUAAUAAAAGAGCGGGUUACUACAUACUACCCCUCUUAACAAUAAUUUCGUCCCGAAAUUUGCAUAUUUGGGUCAUCUAGUUUGGAAUAUUAGACAUUCAUUCCAUUCAGCUCUUAUGCGGCAUUGAAUCAUACACGGCCUUAACUUUCUAACAACGUAACAUAGUUCUUCUUACAGAAAUUUUCUUCAAAAUCUGGUAUGUCAUCACGUCGUGGAACUUGCCCUUUUCUUUUCUUGGAGAUUGGAGUGUGAUCCUUCUCUCGCUACAAAGUAUUGUAGUUCUGACUCGAUUAAGUCUAUCAAUUCUAGGAUUACGUCAACUUCUAUCAUAGAAAUAACACGCAAGUAACGUCCUUAGCAUUCAGUCUUCCACCCUCAGUUAUCCUAACUUCUGAAGUUGUUUCGGACGAUUGCAACGUCAAUUCUAGUUUCUUACUAGCAGUAGGUGGAAUGAGAGAGUGAGACGCUCCAGUAUCAAACAAAGCUAUAAUCGACACGUCGAAAACAUUAAUCAUACCUGCUAGGUUUUCCUGAUCUCCUGCUGCUUGGUGUUGGUUAAGGGCAUAGGCCCUAGCAUUUCGUGGUUGUCCUUGGUAUCCUCCAUGACCUUGGUUUUGUCGUUGUUGGUUUCCGGGAUUUUGUUGUUGGGUGCUCCUCCUCUUUUCUUUGGGCAUGCUGAAGCAAAAUGCCCAGGUUCCCCGCAGUAAUAACAAACAUUCAUUCCCUUCUUGCAUUCCCCUAAAUGGGGUUUUUGACAGUUUGGACAAGGUAGUGGAGCUAUAGCUUGCGGCUGUUGGUGCUGGUGUUGAUUUUGAUUUUGAUUUGCCGCCCAUAGUUUCUUCCCAUUUCCAUUCCCAGGGUUUCCACCAGUUCCCUCGUUCCAUUUUCUUUUUCCUUUACCACUAUCCUGAGAUGGUACAAUUCUAGAUUGUUCGGAGUUUUCCUUUUCCUUGGUAGCAGUGAUUCAAUGGUGAGGGCUCUGCUCAAUGUUUGUGCAUACGUAAGACCUCCUUGGCUUGCUAAAGAAAUCGCUAUCUCAUGGCGCAAUCCAUUUCUGAAUUUUUUUCUGCGCGCUUCUCAUCAGUGUCCACCAGCUCGGAGCAUAUCUUGAUAGCUGAUUGAAGGCUCUAUCGUAUUCCGUAACUGUCCCAGCUUUCUGUUUCAGAUUCCAGAACUCGUUCUGCUUCUUCUGUCUAUAGCAUCCCGGUAUGUACUUCUCAUACAACAAUCUUAAAAUCUUCCCAAGUGAAGUUUCCCACUGUUCCUCAGUCAUUGUGCGUCUCACUGAUUCCCACCAGAAGUCGGCUUCGUCCACCAUUUGGUAGGUUGCACAAGUUACUUUGUCUUCGUCAUCGCAACGGAUGUAGUAAAGAUAGCUCUAUGCCCUAACCAUUUUUCGGCGUUGUUGGAUCGCCAGCCCGUCAAACGUUGGAGGUUUUUCCUACGAAACUUCUCUUCAGAGUACGAUUUGGUGCUACUUGUUGGAUUGGCUCUUCAGGGAUGAAUCCCCUGCCGCGUCCGCGACCACGACCACUCCUCGUCCCCUACCGCGUCCUCUUGGUGCGUCUUCCAUUCUGGUUUACGAACGAUAUUAACACAACAGUGAGACUCAUUCUACAUACAUACAUACCUAGAUAUGUACAAGAUAUAUCGCUUCUAUGUGUAACCAUGUGAAAGACUAGUUCUAUGUGGAAACUAAUCUUAACUUAAGUGAUAACUUAAGUGAAACCUUAAUCUCAUGACAUUUCUUCUACGUUGUAACAUAUCUAUGUUAAACGCUGCUAUCUUAUCAUUCCUUACUUAAAUCGAUCAAGCGGGCUUCACGACUAACAUUUCUAAAGUAUCUUGGUAGUACUCAAACGGUUUGUAAGAGACUCAUCAUUCAUCUAAGGUGACCUAAAACAUAAUAAAACUUUCAUUCAUUCAAUCAUUUGUUUCUUUUGAAACCUUAAAAACAUUUGGACAGUGCAUGUCCCUUUCAUGAAAACUUUCUCAAGUCGAAGAUUUAGGAAAUCUAACUCAUCAUAAUUCAUUGAUUCGUUAAGGGCUCGGGUAGUCCCAAACACGACAUACAUAAUUGGUUAUAUGAGUCGGAGACUCAAAAUAACAAUAUGAAAGCGAUAAGCAAUUCAUAUAACAUCAUUCAUUGAAAGCGCGCACUUCUUGAAAACUUGAAGCAUUUAAAAUCAUUGAAACUUUUAAAUCGUACCUUUUCGUUGCGGCAGUGUGACGGCGAGCUGAGGGUCAACAAAUUUUUCUUAGAAGUCUAGAGAACUAAUCUAGACUCGAUGUUAGAACUUAUGGUUAUCAGAGACAUGAAAGAAAACUUAUGCUCUGAUACCACUUGUAACAGCCCGACUUCCCAAGGCAAAAGAAAUAGGAAAAAUAAUGGAAAGUCUUAAUCAACCAGAAUAAACUUGACAAUCUACCCAUUAAAUUGGGUAUUCAUAUUCCAAAGAGAUAAAAUGAAAGAGGUAAAUUGAAAGGCCUUAAGAGUUGCAAUCAAAUGACAAUAUUCAAACUCAGGAUCACAUAAGUUUAGUUUAUUGCUCGAUAACCAACAUUCUUAACAAUACUUAGAGUCAAAUCUAAGCUCACAAAAGAUAUCUUUAGAGUCAUAACAUAAGUCUUAAGUCAAGAACGAAAGACAAUAAAGGCUAGACACAGCGGAAGCAAAACACGGAGUUGAACCCUAGCCUCAGCUCUCCCCGUCAACACCAGCCAUCAACCUGAAAAACAUUUAAAAAUAUUUGGGCUAAGUACUAAUGUACUUAGUGGGCUGCAACUUUUAAAACAUUUCACAAUUCGUAAGAGCAGUUUAUCCAAUCAUUCAUGACAUAACUUAGAAGGUUUUAAAGUAAAGGAACUUCUAAGCAUGUUAAACAUUUCAUUUUAUUAGCGCGCUGUUGUCACACUCUGUUCUGUUACUCGCUGUGAUCCCGGACCUUUUAGCCACCGACGAUCCCUCAUUCCCAUGACACUUGCCCUGAGGACGUAACUCAGACAAGUUGAAUUGCCUCGGGACGCUACCCAGGCAGGCCUUACAUGAUACAUGCUCCGGAACACAUCCAGCCAAGCACCCUUAUAACGCCUCUGACAUGAAUUAGUGCCCGAUUGAGAUGGAGCACGCCGCCCGUGCCUGGUGUCUUACCGUCGGACUCAGUUGGGGUGUCCGUGAAGUGAAGGAGUAGAGCGAGUGAGGAGGAAGAUUAUUGGAUAAACAGUUUUCAUUUCAUGAAAUAUUUAGAGCUUAAUAACUCAAUCAUACAUUUGGAAAGUAAGCCCACCUGAUUAUAGCUCUAGUUGUGGUGCAGUAGCUCUCGUCUAGGUAUUACUCUCGCGCUUGACCUUUAUUGCGAGAAUUUAAAUAAGAUAUUUGCUCGAGCAAAAAUUCUCAAUAAUGAGAAUGCGUGAGUAACUAUGCAUGAAUCUCUUAUGCAUGAUUAUUAUCUAACAUCACAACCCGAGAGUUUUAUUAAUAAACAGGCUAUUGGAUUAAGAAAUCUAACUAAGUCUCGCUUCAUGAAAUCGAAUCGUAACUAUAAUUAAUCUGCUCAUCUUAGAGUGUUUUAACCCACUUGAUAAUAAAUAGAAGUCGCCCUAUUUAAUCGAUAAAAGAAAGUAGCUAAAUCGAACAUCCGUUUGAUAAGAUAACCACGUAAAAAAAUUAAUCGUAAUUGGGUAGCUGCAUCUAAUUAACCGGGCUAAACAAAUAUGAAUUGAAGUAAUAAUAUAAGUCAAAUAAUUAAAAGGCUCAACAUAAUACAACCUAAUAAUUAAUUAAGAGUGGGCUUGAAUUAAAAAUAAAUAAUUACAAUUCAUAUAUAUAAAUUUGGAGCCCAAGUAAAAUAAUUAAAUUUGGACUGAAUAAUUAAAAUACAAGGCCCAAUUGAAAUGAGAUUGUUGGACUCAAAUAAUUAAAUAAAUAUGGACUCAAAUAGAAUAAUAGUAACAGCCCAACUGAAAAGAAGUACAAAUAAAAAUAAAAUAAAAGCCUAACUUAACUUUCAGCCCAAAAGAAGGAAAAUAUAAUUGAAUCUGGGUCCAGAAUAAAAUAAAAUGAAGAGGCCCAAGGAAAUGGCCCAAACCAAAUAAAAUGACAAGCCCAAAAUUUUAGCCCAACACUCCUUAUCUCCUCCACUCGGUCCCUCUCUCUCCUCAAAACAGGCGCUCCCUUCGAUUCUCUCUCUCUCUCGAUCCGUCUCCAGCCGAGGCGGGCGCCGCCGCCGCUGCCGGCGCGGCCGUGCCUGGCCGAGGGCGGCACACCUUGCCGUCUCACUCUCCCCUCUCUCUCAAAUCAGCAGAAACAAUGGAAGCCCUACUCCCCCUUCCAAAUCGAGCCCUAGCUCUCCCAAAAUCAGGAAUCGCCGCCGCCGCUCCUGAAUUCCGGUGAACGGCGGUCGAACCUCCUCCCUCACGUCCAUCUCUGCCUUCUUCGCUCUCAAUUUCCAUCGAAGCUUGAGCGAGCCCUAAUUUUUCCCUCCUUGAGGUGCCGCCGCCGCCGCCGCUGCAACUGGAAGGCCGACGAGAUUCGCCGCGCCGCUGCACCCGUAGCGGCGUCCGCUGGUCGUCAGGCCGCCGAGGGCGCCGAUCCUCGGCUGCCCCCUCUUCAUCUCACUACCUUCCUUUCAAAAUCGAGUGCAAAGAAUGAAGGGAGGAAGCAUAAUUUCCUCAGUCUGAUAUCGUCUCCGCCGUUGUUGCUCCGCGGUUUCCGGCUAGUAGGGGAAAGCCCGCCGUUGCUGUUUUCUCCAGGGUCGACGGUUCGAGCCACGCCACGCUGCUGCUGCUGGGUUCGGUGAGGGUACGCCGCGAAUGCUGCUAUUCCAGAAUCGGCGAGGGCCAUUACCGAGGUCGGGAGUCGUCUGCCUUUCACCACUUGACGCUGCUGCCCCCGCGAGUCGCCGCCCCGACGUCAUCUCUCGGCUUGACUAAGCAGGGCAGCGCCCCUC